rnacentral:rRNA from 1 species
CCUACGGGAGGCAGCAGUGGGGAAUAUUGGACAAUGGGGGCAACCCUGAUCCAGCCAUGCCGCGUGUGUGAAGAAGGCCCUCGGGUUGUAAAGCACUUUCAGUGAGGAAGAACGCCUGGUGGUUAAUACCCAUCAGGAAAGACAUCACUCACAGAAGAAGCACCGGCUAACUCCGUGCCAGCAGCCGCGGUAAUACGGAGGGUGCGAGCGUUAAUCGGAAUUACUGGGCGUAAAGCGCGCGUAGGUGGCUUGAUAAGCCGGUUGUGAAAGCCCCGGGCUCAACCUGGGAACGGCAUCCGGAACUGUCAAGCUAGAGUGCAGGAGAGGAAGGUAGAAUUCCCGGUGUAGCGGUGAAAUGCGUAGAGAUCGGGAGGAAUACCAGUGGCGAAGGCGGCCUUCUGGACUGACACUGCCACUGAGGUGCGAAAGCGUGGGUAGCAAACAGGAUUAGAUACCCGUGUAGUC